rnacentral:rRNA from 1 species
UGGCGAGUGGCGGACGGGUGAGGAAUACAUCGGAAUCUACCUUUUCGUGGGGGAUAACGUAGGGAAACUUACGCUAAUACCGCAUACGACCUUAGGGUGAAAGCGGAGGACCUUCGGGCUUCGCGCGGAUAGAUGAGCCGAUGUCGGAUUAGCUAGUUGGCGGGGUAAAGGCCCACCAAGGCGACGAUCCGUAGCUGGUCUGAGAGGAUGAUCAGCCACACUGGAACUGAGACACGGUCCAGACUCCUACGGGAGGCAGCAGUGGGGAAUAUUGGACAAUGGGCGCAAGCCUGAUCCAGCCAUGCCGCGUGGGUGAAGAAGGCCUUCGGGUUGUAAAGCCCUUUUGUUGGGAAAGAAAAGCAGUCGGUUAAUACCCGAUUGUUCUGACGGUACCCAAAGAAUAAGCACCGGCUAACUUCGUGCCAGCAGCCGCGGUAAUACGAAGGGUGCAAGCGUUACUCGGAAUUACUGGGCGUAAAGCGUGCGUAGGUGGUUGUUUAAGUCCGUUGUGAAAGCCCUGGGCUCAACCUGGGAAUUGCAGUGGAUACUGGGCAACUAGAGUGUGGUAGAGGAUGGCGGAAUUCCCGGUGUAGCAGUGAAAUGCGUAGAGAUCGGGAGGAACAUCUGUGGCGAAGGCGGCCAUCUGGACCAACACUGACACUGAGGCAC